GCACCUUCCGGUACGGCUACCUUGUUACGACUUAGUCCUAAUUACCGGUCCCACCUUCGACGGCUCCCUCCACAAGGGUUGGGCCACCGGCUUCGGGUGUUACCGACUUUCAUGACUUGACGGGCGGUGUGUACAAGGCCCGGGAACGUAUUCACCGCAGCAUUGCUGAUCUGCGAUUACUAGCGACUCCGACUUCAUGGGGUCGAGUUGCAGACCCCAAUCCGAACUGAGACUGGCUUUAUGGGAUUCGCUCCACCUUGCGGUAUUGCAGCCCUUUGUACCAGCCAUUGUAGCAUGUUUCAAGCCCUGGACAUAAGGGGCAUGAUGACUUGACCUCAUCCCCACCUUCCUCCGAGUUGACCCCGGCAGUCUCCUAUGAGUCCCCGGC
rnacentral:rRNA from 1 species